GUCUACCCAGCCACCAGCUGGGCACAAAAACCCAGAUGAGCCCUAUCUGCAUGCUGAUUAAUAUAAAUGAGGGGCUUUGAUACGGCCGUCAGCCGUCGCUGGAGUCUGUGGAAGAAGGCUCUGCACUCCAUCCUACCAGGUUUAAUGAACUCUCUGAUGAAAGCUCUACACACAGCACUAACUCACAGACGUUCUGGAGGGAGGCUGAGGGAGGCUUUUUAAUGCUGCCAGCUAAGGAUGGCUUUGAACUUCUCACCCUUCAGUCUUUACCUUCCAAGUACUAGGAUCAGGUUGUGAGGUGUGCACCAACAGGCCUGGGCCACGUGCAGCUGAGGUCAGAUACAAGAGCUUAGACUCACAAGAUAUCCAGAAACACAGCAGUACAUCCUACGUGUCCCAGGGUGUCUAAACCAGCCACGCAGUAGACGCAACAGGCAAGAGGCCAAUGCAGAAUCAAACGCCUGGUGGUGUCACAGCCGCAGCCUCACCUCUCAGUGCUUGACAGCUGCUGUUCGCAAAGCACCACCGAGAGCCCAGGGACAACUGUAGUGCCGAGAUCUGGGAAGGAGACCAACAGAACACCAGGCCAGCCGCCCAGGCACAGUCUCCACACAGAACACCAGGCCAGCCCCUGAGGCACAGUAUCCUCACAGAACACCAGGCCAGCCAGUCAGGCACAGUCUCCACACAGAACACCAGGCCAGCUGCCCAGACACAGUCUCCACACAGAACACCAGGCCAGUCACCCAGACACAGUCUCCACACAGAACACCAGGCCAGUCACCCAGGCACAGUCUCCUCACAGAACACCAGGUCAGCCGCCCAGGCACAGUCUCCACACAGAACACCAGGCCAGACACCGAGGCACAGUCUCCACACAGAACACCAGGCCAGCCCCUGAGGCACAGUAUCCUCACAGAACACCAGGCCAGCCGCCCAGGCACAGUCUCCACACAGAACACCAGGCCAGACACCCAGGCACAGUCUCCACACAGAACACCAGGCCAGCCACCCAGACACAGUCCACACAGAACACCAGGCCAGUCACCCAGACACAGUCCACACAGAACACCAGGCCAGACACCGAGGCACAGUCUCCACACAGAACACCAGGCCAGCCGCCCAGACACAGUCCACACAGAACACCAGGCCAGACACCGAGGCACAGUCUCCACACAGAACACCAGGCCAGCCCCUGAGGCACAGUCUCCUCACAGAACACCAGGCAAGCCGCCCAGGCACAGUCUCCUUACAGAACACCAGGCCAGACACCGAGGUACAGUCUCCAUCACAUUCAAAGUGAAGAAGGACAGUAGUUCAACACCCAGGACACAGGGGACAGUUGUCAUCUAACACCCAGACAGACAUCUCAUUCUCUUUAUCUGCCAGGUUUUCAGAACACUAAAAAGUAGGAAAAAGGCAAACAAACAAAAACUAGUUUAUGUCCUGAUUUUAGAGACUAUACGCAGACACAGACAUGCACACACACCAAGAACACUUGUGAGCAGCAACAUGGAUUGGUCACUGGAAAGUCAUUUACUCAUCAGUAUUCCAACAGUUUUAAUUCCACUUCCCACCAAGAAGAAAAAUGUCAGGGAAUAUUUAGAGGCACUAUUACCAGUACAGUAUCAGUCCAGGAAAGGACAUAACCAGAAUAGUAAAUAUAAAAAUACAAUGGCAUUUAUGAAUACCUUCUAAAAUAUUCAGAUCCUAUAGAAUAUUCUUGCUAUCUAUCAUAUAUGAAAUUUCAGACAACGGAACUGGUCAGAAAAACUGUGACUAUAUUCAGAGAUACCUGCUUUCCUUAAAAAAUGAAAAAUAAUUGCUUUAAUGAGGUAUAACAUAUAUUAUAAAAAAUUCACAUCUAAAGCUUAUUCUUCAGUGAGUUUUAAGCAAUCGGUUUGGGUUAUAACUCAGUGGAGAGCACUUGCUUAGCACGUAUGAACCCUGGAUUUGAUCCCCAGCCCCUGCAAAGGCGGCGGUGGUUAAAAGCAUCUGCACACAUGGGCAAAUGCGGCUGCGCUCUAAGGUCAGAGCGUCUCCACGCCUCGAACCGUAUGAGUCAACCCUCGUUUAGGCUGUUCUACUUGACUGUAAUUUUGUUUGUAAGUAUUUGGAGUUGUUACUGAAAUGAAUUAUAAAAACAAUAAAGUAAAAUAGAAAUGUCAAAA